UACGUAGGGGGCAAGCGUUGUCCGGAAUCAUUGGGCGUAAAGCGCGUGUAGGCGGCUUGGUAAGUCUGCUCUGAAAGCCCGGGGCUUAACCCCGGGAGGCGGGUGGAUACUGCUGAGCUCGAGUCCGGAAGAGGCGAGUGGAAUUCCUGGUGUAGCGGUGAAAUGCGCAGAUAUCAGGAGGAACACCGAUGGCGAAGGCAGCUCGCUGGGACGGUACUGACGCUGAGACGCGAAAGCGUGGGGAGCAAACAGG
rnacentral:rRNA from 1 species